CAUAAUGUUCCCUGUUAUAUCCUUGGUAUCAUUUUGGAGUUCCUGAUUCUUUUCUGAGUUUGUGUAGUUGAGAAGACUGGUGUUAAAGCAUCACAGGCCACGGAGGUCUUGAGAGUCCAGUCCGCUUCCAGUCGCUGGUGAGACCAGUCCGCUUCCAGUUGCUGGUGAGACUGAAGCGGAUGGGAGAACACAGCACAUCCCUAAGGGGAGUUGGCUAGGAGUAAGUAGUGCUUUGAGUACCUUGAGGAAAUUGCGAUCCAACUGUAAGGAAGGCUGCUGCUGAGCCACCCAGCUCUGGUUCAGGAAGUCUCCCUCCAGCCAAGACCAUUCUGGGCAACGUGCAUCGUGUUUGGAAGACUCCACCCCAGGCAAGACAGUACCGGAUGGACUCUGGCUGCUGCUGCCCACCUUGCAGCUGCUCUCACUCAGGCUCGGUGCCCUCCCAGCCAUUCAGCCAGAAGUCUACAAUUCCUGUGAUGUGAAGCCUGUGAUUAGAGUC